rnacentral:rRNA from 1 species
UACGAAGGGGGCUAGCGUUGUUCGGAUUUACUGGGCGUAAAGCGCACGUAGGCGGAUUGUUAAGUCGGGGGUGAAAUCCUGGAGCUCAACUUCAGAACUGCCUUUAAUACUGCCAGUCUCGAGUCCGGAAGAGGUAAGUGGAACUCCUAGUGUAGAGGUGGAAUUCGUAGAUAUUAGGAAGAACACCAGUGGCGAAGGCGGCUUACUGGACACAUAUUGACGCUGAGGUGCGAAAGCGUGGGGAGCAAACAGG